CUUUCAAAAUUAAAACCCAUUCCAUUUUGCUAAGCAUCCAGCGAUUGUGUUGUUACAAGUGGAAACUUUGAAACCCUAGAAAAUUUUGAGAGAUACAGAGUGCUAGAGAGAGCUAAAAGAGGAUGAUUCUCAGAACUCCACAGCCAAAGAGACCUAGAGACGAUGCCAAAGCCAUCGAGAGCCCGCCUAUCGGUUCCGAUCGUCGGCUUGUUAUUUACGAAGACCCUGUCGUUCAAUUGCCGGAGUCCUCUCACGAGCCUCAACCGUCCGAUCACAUGCUCUGCACCUACCAGUGUCGCCAAAUGGUUAAAUCAGAUUUUCUGGAUGCCUUGAGCAAUGCAGAGAAGCAAGUUUGUGAUUAUCUAUCUAAAUUGGAGAAUUUAAAUGAGAACUUCUGCAAAGUUGAAGCGGAUAGGAACAAAUUUCGGGAUCAAUUCUUAUAUGCUGAACAGGAACUUGCUGCUGCCAAAGGACGUGAACAGGCCUUGCAACUGCAACUUCUGAAGGAGAUCAAUGAUUCCCAGGAGAGGUUGAAGAAACAAUUAGAAUCAUGCAGCAAACUUGAGAUAAAACUGGAAAAUGAGAAGAACCUUCGGAUAAAAGCUGAAUCCUCAGCAACUUCUGCCGAAGAGAAAGCAAGUCUUUUGGAGGCAAAGCUUUCCCAACUUUCUGAAAGCAUAGACAGGGAGAAAAUGCGCCUCAAUAAUGAGCUUGCACAGCUGCAAAGAGAUUCAAAGCUUUCUGUUUCCAGGAUAACUGCAGAUCUUGAAAGAAUGGAAUGCAGAGCUAAAAAUGCUGAGAAGGAAUCAGAGCUACUCAAGGAGCAGCUAGGAAAUCUAAAAUUGCAACUAAAUGAGUGCUUGCACCAGAAGAGUGAACUGGAGAAGAAACUAUCAAGUUUAACAAUUCCAGGAGGUGCGUCUACAGAGAGCAAUAUUUUAGUUAAACAUCUCCAAGACGAGCUCAGGAACUAUGAGUCUGAAGUGAGAGAAGCGAGAAAAUUGAAAGCAUCUUAUGAAAACAUUGAGUUAUUAAAGGAGAAAUUAUUGGAAGAAAAAAGCCGCAAAGAGAGGGCAGAGUCGGAGUUAUCCAAGUUACGAGAAUUUGAGCUAAAUAUGAGGAAGUUGGAAGAUGAGUUGUCUUCUUGGAAGUCAAUGCUAAAAAAGAUCCCUGAUGUGUCUUGCUGUGACGAUAUACCUCUCAAGUUUUCAGCAUUACAAAAAGAGGUGAUUGAUAACAUGAUGAAGGUGGGUGAGGCAAAUGCGCGGUUGAAACAAAUAGAGGUGGCUCUGGAUGCUGCCCAACUUGGCAAACAAAAUGCUGAAGCUGAGGCUGCAUUGGCUAAAGAGAAGGCAGAAAGCUUGAAAUUGGAGGUCAAUCGGAUUGAAUUGAUGGUAAGUGUUGGUUUAGGCGGUUUGGCUGCCAAAGUCUCUUAUGCCACGUCUAAUGUCGUUUAUAAGAUCCCCAGGGUCCCACUAUGUUUGGCAGUUUAAUUGUUUUUUAUUGUAAAUUAAAAAAAGGAUGCUUUUCAGUUACUGGCGAAUUAAAAUUAAACAAAGAUCUCAACCACGCGCGUCCUGGAUUUAAUCGAGCAUUAAUUGGCGCGUGUAAUCACGAGAAAUAUUUUCGUCGGGGCAUUGCUGCUUGAAUUUUAAUUGCGGUGCUUUGCCGUGUUUGCCUUGCUGAACACGUUCGUUAAAAUCGAAACUAUAAAUGCCCGUCUCUGCUUUAAAUCAUCCUUCUCCUCUCCUCUCCUCUCCUCUCAAUCUCGCUUUCGGUUAUAUUAGCUUGAUUCUUGCUCUCCUUCUCUGCAAUUUCCUGGGCUUUUACUUUGCAGUUCUGUUGCUCUCUUCUCGCGUUCAUUUGUUUGCUGGGAAACAGCUCGAAAAAGUGUUAAGGCAUUGAAAGAAUCGUUCUUGACAGGUUACUUUCGUUUUCUAUUGAUUCUCGCCUACCAAAUCGUUUCUCUGGCUUCAUCUGGUUUACUUGCCAUCGCUGAUUUUUUGCAUUGUUGUUAUGAAGGUGCUGCAUUGCUCUUUGAAGAUUACUUUGGGGAUUCGUAUUUUGAUUUUCCUUUUGUUUUAUAGCUCCAGAAAGGGUUAAUUGCUAUAGCUAUGGAUCAUUCUGCAGGACACCCACAUAGUAGUCUUCUUUCUUCUCUCUCUCUCUCAUCUUUUUGGAAAAGAUGAGGGCUUUUCUCUUUCUACUCUUGAACCCAAUAUUUCGACCUUCUCAUGCUCAAAGAUUAAUGCUUUCAAGAAUGUAGAAAGAGAGAAAGCACUAAAGUUGAGCUUUAAUGGUAGAGCUUGUCUCCCUCAUUACCACCUGAGCAAAAACAAAGAGUAUUGCCUUUAAUUGCUGCCAGCUAAAAUCUGUAGUAAUUAGUUAGUGUUAUUAAGCAAGAAAAGGAAAUAUCACUUGAUAGUACAUUAACGAUGAAGUUGGAGGUCAUGUAUCUAGCGAUAAUGAUAGGAUCCUCUCCCCUCUUUCAAAUACUCGAGAGGAAUGGGCAAUAAACCCCGCAAGGAAUUGAAAAAUUAUACGGAGAAUACAGAACACAUCAAUGAAGGUUUUGAGCACACAAGCAGUAGUUUUCAACUUUUUGUCCAAGUCGAGGCAUUUAUUCUCGCCAUCAAUCACUGGGAUGUGAAAGAACAAAGGCUCUAUGGACACAUCAACCAUGCAGGCCGGCACACAUAUUUUGUUCCAUUUCUAGAGAAAUGGGCCCUGUGGUUCAAGAAUUUUCUUUCUUGUGCCAGAUGCUUUUGGUGGCUGAGAAAGAUUUAUGAUUUUCUUUUAGGGAAAAGUCCCGCCCACUUGACGGAAGGGAUAAUGGGAGCAAAUGGAUUGUGUUAUUUCUGUUUACUGGAGGGCUUAAAUGAACUAAAAAAUUUGUUAGGAACUUAAGUAGAUAUUUGGAUAUUUGUUAGGGUUUUAAAAAGGCCUUUUGCCUUUAUUUUGUGACAACUGUAUUUACUUCCUUUUGCCUUUUAAUCUACUUAAAUAAUAGAAUUCAAUUAUAUGUUUGUUUGCCUUCCAGAAAGAGUGCCACCAUGGGAAUUGGAACCGAGGAACGUGCGGGCAAAAACUAGCUCUACUGGGGUUACUUCUCAAAUAAGACCUUCUAAAGCUGAGUGUUCCAUUGUUUAUGAACAGGGGGAGGGAGGAACUGAAAAGGAAGGUGAGACUGAGGUGGCGAUUCAGAGUCAAGAUACAGAACAGCUUGGUCUUGCUUCAGCUGAACAUCCAAUUCUUCCGGAGUUUCUUACUUCAUUUGAUUCUUCUUUGUUUGGUGAUACAUCUGAAGAUUUUUAUGAAGAUUUUUAUGGUUUUCCGUUGCUAAAAUCUCAUGCUUCUGACCUUAACAAAAUAUACUGCAUUGAGGGAAAAUUUUGGGAGAAUUGCAUGCUUGAGAGAGCUAAUACAAUAGCAGCAAUGCUGGGAGAACUUGGUUCUGCACUUUCAUUGAAGGAAAAAACAUGGAUGUCAAUGAGUCCUGAUGAGUUAACGACCAUAAUCCAAAGCGUUGGGGAUGCUUUGAAAGUUGGAUUCAAACUUGAUUGUCUAAAGCCUGUUUUAGAGAAAGCUAAAACAGUGUUGUGGUCUUUCAAGACUCGUUGCCGGUUGGAGGCAUUACAGAAGGAAAAAAAUUUUCUAGAAACUCAACUUCAGUCUGUAAUUUCUCAGAUACAAUCUCUUGAACUAGAGCUUAUAUCUAACUCUGAAGGACUUGAUUUAGAAUGUAGAUGUUUAGCUAGUAUCUUUAGUUGAUAUCGAUUAGGAGUGUGUUUGGACCCAACUUACAGGAAAUUUGGUGAAAUAUUAUGAAAAGGGGAAAGGACAUUGAAAUCA